AGAGUUUGAUCAUGGCUCAGAAUAAACGCUGGCGGCGUGCCUAACACAUGCAAGUCGAGCGAGAAAGCUUCUUCGGAAGUAAGUACAGCGGCAAACGGGUGAGUUACGCGUGAGAAUCUGCCUUUUAGUGAAGGAUACCCUUGAGAAAUCGAGGUUAAUACUGCAUACGUCCCUUCGGGGAGAAAGAUGGCCUCUUUGCU
rnacentral:rRNA from 1 species